UUACUCUGGUUUCUUUUCAUAACGCGAACAAGUCUUUCGCCUUUACUAAAGACUUCCGUGGAGAGGAACACAAAAUGAGUUGAACCUAUUUUUGGUGGGCUCUGCCAUUUGGCUGAGCC